rnacentral:rRNA from 1 species
UACGUGAGGGGCAAGCGUUGUCCGGAUUUAUUGGGCGUAAAGAGCGUGUAGGCGGUUUGGUAGGUCCGCUGUGAAAACUCGACGCUCAAUCCUCGAGACGCCGGUGGAAACCAUCAGACUAGAGUCCGGAAGAGGAGAGUGGAAUUCCUGGUGUAGCGGUGAAAUGCGCAGAUAUCAGGAAGAACACCCGUGGCUAAGGCGGCUCUCUAGUACGGUACUGACGCUGAGACGCGAAAGCGUGGGAGCGAACAGG